rnacentral:rRNA from 1 species
AUUGAACGCUGGCGGCAGGCCUAACACAUGCAAGUCGAGCGGAUGAAGGGAGCUUUCUCCUGGAUUCAGCGGCGGACGGGUGAGUAAUGCCUAGGAAUCUGCUUGUUAGGGGGGGAUAACGUCCGGAAACGGGCGCUAAUACCGCAUACGUUCUGAGGGAGAAAGUGGGGGAUCUUCGGACCUCACGCUAUCAGAUGAGGCUAGGUCGGAUUAGCUAGUUGGUGGGGGAAAGGCCUACCAAGGCGACGAUCCGUAACUGGUCUGAGAGGAUGAUCAGUCACACUGGAACUAAGACACGGUCCAGACUCCUACGGGAGGCAGCAGUGGGGAAUAUUGGACAAUGGGCGCAAGCCUGAUCCAGCCAUGCCGCGUGUGUGAAGAAGGUCUUCGGAUUGUAAAGCACUUUAAGUUGGGAGGAAGGGCAGUAAGUUAAUACCUUGCUGUUUUGACGUUACCAACAGAAUAAGCACCGGCUAACUUCGUG